rnacentral:ncRNA from 2 species
AUGGAACUGUGUCUCCGAGUCUGUGACACCUGUCGCUUUUUGGCUAUGGUUCACAGACCUGACCGGCUGGAACUUCCAGCCGGUCACGGGGUUUACGCGGAAACGCGUGGACCUUCCUUGUUUCUCGUAAAGGAGGCGUUUCAAGCAGUCA